ACUCCCAAUCCUUGUACCAGUGU
rnacentral:miRNA from 1 species